rnacentral:lncRNA from 1 species
GGGGGAGGUGGGGGGGUGGCGAGCGCCUGGGUGCAGCGGGGUCCGCGUGCGUCACUCCGGAGCAGUUAAAACGCAGCCUGCCCGGUCGCCCGCCCCUGGGCAACUGAGUCCGAACUUCCAGGCCUGAGGCCUGAGGGAAGGUCUUCUCUGAGGGCACCGGGCAGUGCAGCUGCGCGAUGCCACCCCCUUCUGCAGUGUGGACCGCCGUGUCUCGGCUGGAGGGCCGGCCCUAAGCUUGCAGGAGACGUAGGAGUAGCUGCUCUAUACGGGGAUCUUCCUGCCAUUAAUUGCCUGCCUGACUGCUUGGAUUUCUCUAUCUGCUGCAAUUCUCCAACAUACCACAUGUGGAUUCAGGAUUACCUCCUUUUCCUACUUGGGGUCCAUCCCCAGUUGCCUUCUCUGAAAUUCAGAAUCAGCUUCCCUCUUUGGUGGCCACUUUUCCUCCUAUGGGAAUAGUCCUCAUUCAUGUUGUUGGUAAAGAUGUUCCUAAGUAGCCACAGAAUCGUGUGUUCCUGGCUUGUCAACUUAAUGAAAAACCUGAAAACAAAGCUAUUUCUUGUUGUUUGUAUAUCACAUAGGUCAUUUGGUCAAAAUGUUUAGGGAAUCAUGAAUGGCCAGGCAUGGCUUACAUGUCCACUCUCUUUGACCAGGGAAGCCCAUCUACUACCAGAAUAAGGGCGAUGUUGGGAAAUUGUUCUGGAUAGACAAAAACAAUGACUUUGUAGCUCACUCCAUCAGAAAAAAAUCUAAAAGGAAUUUUUUAAAGGCUCAUAUAAUUAAAAGAAAAUGGAUAUAGUUGAAACUUGAUUUUAUAAUUUUGGAGUAUUGCAAGAAAUGAGGAGACACUGAUUAGGACUUUGCUAUAUUAGAUCUUAUUGCAAACAUUGAAUAAUUUUUUUAACAUUGAAUAAUUUUUAUCAGCAUAGUGUACUCUCCUCUUCCGUAACUCUCCUGAUGCAGACAUAUCCAUGAUUAAUUAGCAAACCCAACUUUUACAUUCUCUCUUCAUCCUACUUAAUGUCAUCUGUAAUACUCCAGGUAAACAGUAGAGAAAAUUCUUAUGGGAAAUAGUUCAGGGACCCUUAUUGUUUAUAUUGUUUGAUUCUUUGAUAAUGCUUAUCUUUAUUAUAUUGCAACGAAUAGUGAUGAGUUAAGUGAUAGAUAACUUAUUUAGGACAUUGCCUCGUAUGUAAAAAGUGCUUUUUAAAAAAUAAAAUAUUUU